UGUUACGCAUUUAAGCCUAAUAUGAGCGAAACAAAGUCCAAUUGAAAUUCAUUCAUUCAUUAAAAACGAUCAUUCAUCGAAGUAAUUAACAUCCCCGAUGAUAAACACGGGAACAAUACUCUAAUCAGCGGCCGGUCUGAGUUUGACUCCCCUCGGUGCUCCGCGUGAACGCGCGCAGCGGGCCUGCUGGGCCGUGUGUGGCCAUGGCAACAGGGCGCGCCUAAUUAACGGCGGAAGCCUUCACUUCUCUUCUCCCCGUCGGUGUUUCAGCACGGGGCUAAGAUUGGCGCUGGCCCCGGGGUUUGUGGGAACCGGGACAGCCCUUUCACGAAAGCCCUCCUCAGGUCGACAUUAUUACACGGUUAAUUAAGUCGGUUCAACGGGCGCGAGCUCGAGCAAACAGCAGGGGCGAUUGUUUUUCGCUGCCCUCCCCAACUAGCUUGCUAAUUACUCCGUGGACUGCCCCUAACCUGGAUGCAUUCUGAAGGGCUCAGCUGACCCCGUAAUUAAAGCUUGAACCUCCCCAAAAGGAAGUCAGCAAGAAAGGCCCUGAGGUGACCAACUUAAAACAGGUGACUCGUUUUGGAAGCAAAACAAACACAAGAAGGGGAUUUGGGCUGGAGGCAGCUGUGGAUCCUGCACGCUCAGCUGGUGACGCACAAAGAAACAGGUGAUGGUGACGGGAUGUUUGCCCUGCAAGGGUGCCGCCACGUGCUUCUUUCCCCUGGAACGAGCUCUCCCAGUAAAAUCUGCACCUGGCCUGGUGGUCUUGGCAACAUCGGACAACCUCUAGCAGAUGUUCUCCUCUCUUUUGUCGAUGACUUCGCGGUGGCUGCUCUGCAAGACAAAACUGCGGAUCAUCUCAUGGCUUCCUCUGCUGCAGAGAUCAUUAAUGAUGAUGAGGCUUUACUCAGUCACUGGAUCCUGGGUGAAAGUUGCCCUUUGGCUGUGUGACAGACAGGAAGAAAGGGACGCUCAGGCUAGUGUGAAGAUGUUUUUUCCUCACUAAGAGCAGAGUACCCCAGGUCGUUCAAUCUCUACCGUACUGCAUAUUCCUGUUCACCUGACAUUAGGCCCCGGCUCAGUCCCAAAAGCAGCCUGCACCCCGCUGGGUCCAUUCCAUUAUAUACUCCAUGCACACUUUGUCGGUCAUACUAAAAGCCAAGCCUGGGGAGCAAGGAGAGGUUAAAAGGCAUAUGAAAUGGUUUCGCAGCCAGCCAAACUUCCCGAAUCCUCUUCUAUGGAGAGAUGCCAAACCACAGAAGAGAGAAUAAGGGAAGCCAAGAAGAAGAGAAAGAAAGAGCUGAAAGAGAAAAAUAGAGACAGGUGAGGAGUGAAGAGAGACAGAGACUGUGUGUGUUUGGGUCUCUGAAUAGCUCACUUAAUAGAGUUUACAGUUAGAAUAAAUCUAGACCUUAAUUUUGUCUUUUUUUUCUACUUAACAUCGCUUAAGAAAAAAAUGCUGUUUGCAUGUAUUUGCUGAAGGUGAUAAGGUAUAUUUUGAUGC